GGGGAUCCAGGAAAGUGGGGCAGCGGCCUCGGGCUCGCAUGUGGAGGGAGCGUGCGGACGCUCCCCAAAGCCGAAGAAAGCUGCAAGGCACUGGGUGAGGGGCCGGAAAGGGCAAGAGAGGCAGCCGCACACUGUUACCAUUCCAGGCUUGUGUGGGAGAAGACGGCUGUGCCCCUGUGUCUGUCCCAGGCGACUCCAGCCGUUGGUUAAUAAAAGACACAGGAAUGCUGGAUCCAAGCCACAUCUGAUCUAUACCACAGCUUUUGGCAACUCCAGAUCCUUAACCCACUGAGCAAGACCAGGGAUCAAACCCGAGUCGUUGUGGAUACUAGUCGGGUUCCUUAACCACUGAGUCAUGAACUACUAUAAAAUGAUUUUUAUGAAGAGCCUGAAAUACAUGGGAAAUGAGAUGAUAAACUGCCAAAGCAGCAAAGACAUGUUCAGAGACCUGGAGGAUAGAAUCGGAAGAGCUUAUGUACAUCUAGAAGAGUUUCUGGAGGGGAGAAAAUAGAGUAUGAAGGAGGAGCAGUCUCCAUAGAGAUGAUGUGUGAGAAUUUGUCAGACUUGAAGAAAAACAAGUUAUCAGAUCAAAGAAAGAUGCUAAGUCUCAAGCAGAAUAAACUUUUAAAAAAGUUUUUGGCCGUAUCCACAUCAUGUGGAAGUUCCCAGGCCAGGGAUCAAACCGUCAUCACAGCAGUGACAACACCAGAUCAUUAACCCACUGAGUCACCAGGGAAUUCCCACAAGCAGCAUACAUUUUUUUUUUUUUUUAAGUUGAGACCUGUACAUAGUAGUGAAGUUAGAAGAUACCAAACACAGUAAGAAAAUGUUAAAAAGUUACCACUGAGAAAAGUCAAAGCAUCUUAAAAGGAAAGAGAGUCAUCCUGUCGGCAGAAUUAUCAAUAGCAAUAACAACAGAUUACUGAAGACAUUGGAAAAUUGGCAACUAUCUUGGUUACUCUAAAUCAGUUGUAUUUUUUUUAAGUGCCAAUAUUUUGGAAUUUUAAAACCAAGUGAAAUUAAAAUAUUAGCCCUUAAAAAUGUGGUAGAUGAUGGUAGAAGGAUUAAAGACAAUUCUUUUUAUUCCAAAGUGAAAUCUUCCAAAAUUUUAGACUUUGACAAGCUAUUACAUUGGUUAAAAUUCUUUGUUGCAAACAACAUGGGAGAGCUGGUUGGGGGGGGGGGGGAAGCUUGGGCUGAGCUUCUAGAAAAAGUGCUCUAAACCAUAUAACAGAACUGGCAUGGUAAAGAAACUGCUGCUGCUCCUAUCAAGUACCAAAUGCCAAGAGCUCAACUUUACUUCAUCUGCUCCUGCCAUCAGCAUCAAUGCCAGUUCUGUGUCAGAAACUUGAUCUUGCAGCCACUAGGUGUUGGCCUCUACCUGUACCUGGACAGUGAAAGGCACAUGCAGGGCUUGUAUCCUCACAUCCACACAUUUCCACUGCUGCUUCUGGUUUGCAGAGCCAGUGUCAUAGGUCUGCAUCCUAGCUGCAAGGGAAGCAGAGAAUUUGAGUUCUCGAUUUUAUCAGAGAAGUGGGAGCUGCAACUAGGGAAUUAUACCAAACAUAUGAAGGCUACUUAAAAGAUUAUGACAGCUUUGAAGAUGACAGAGUCUAAUAGUGAUAUACAUAUUGAGUGAAGGAGUAUAUUCACCAAAAUAAGAGAAAUAACUUGUGUAACUCCCAAACCUAUAGAGAGAGAAUAAAAAUGACCUAGAGAAGUUAGUCACCAGAUUAGCAGGCAAGGAAGAAGAAAAAGAAAAGCAAACUAAAAGUAUGAUAAAUAGGAAACUCAAGUAAGAUUGUAGAAAGAAGUCCAAAUAUUAUUUUUUUCCUUUUAGGACCACACCCGCAGCAUAUGGACAGGGGUCAAACGAGCUGCAUUGCCCAGCCUGCAGCAUACCACAGCAAUGCCAGAUUCGAGCUGCAUCUGCAACCCAUGUGGCAGUUUGUGGCAACCCUGGAUCCUUAACCCACUGAGCAAGGCCAGGGAUUGAACCCACAUCAUCAUGGAUACUAGUUGGGUUCUUAACCCACUGAGUCACAGUGGGAAUUCCCAAAUAUUAUUAAUUGCAAUAAAUAUACAUAGUUUAGGUUUAAUUUAGCAAAUUAAAGUAUGAUAAAUAGGCAACUCAAAUAAGAUUAUAAAAAGAAUAUUGGGGAAAUAACUAUUAAAAAAUAAAUAAAUAAAUAAUUUUUUAAAAAAGAUUAUAGAAAGGGUCCAAGUGUGUGUGUGCGUGUGUGUGUGUGUAUAUAUACACAUUUUUUUUUUUUAGGGCCACACCUGUAGCAUAUGGAGUUUCCCGGGCUAGGAGUCAAAUCAGAGUUGCAGCUACCAGUCUGCACCACAGCCACGGCAAUACAGGAUCUGAGCCUCACUACAGCUCAAGGCAAUGCCAGAUCCUUAACACGCUGAGCAAGGCAAGUAUCCUUGUGGAUACUAGUUGGGUUCAUUACCUCUGAGCCACAACAGGAACGCCCCAAGUAUAUUAUUAAUCACAAUAAGUAUACACGGUUUAAGCCAACAACAAAAAUAUUCAGGCUGGAUUAAAAAAAACUAUAUCCCUUGUUUACAACUUACAUAGUUUAAGAACAUAUUACCAAGGAGUUUGAAAAAUGAUGAUUAAAUAAAACUAUAUACCAGGAAAAUACUAAUCAAGAAUUGUUGAUGUUAUUAACAUUAAUACCAAACAUAAGAAUUUAAGGCCAAAAGGAUUGAUAGAGGUGAUUUGUAGGGAUCAAAAGGAACUAUCUACCAUGAAGACAUAUAGUCAUAAAAGAUUCAUGAACUUGUGUGCACUUAACCACAUAAAGCAAAAUUUAAUGGGACAAUGUAGAAAAUUUGCAAAUGCACCAUCAAAAAUGAAUAGACAAGCAGACAAAGAAUAUCAUAAAAUCAAUACGCUUGAUACCACAUGAGAUUUACAUAGGUAUACACACACAGUCAACAGUGAAAAAUAGUUCAUGGCACUUCUCCAAGACACUAAGUUCAGCCAUUUUACAGGUGAAUAUUACCAAGCAUACAGGAGAAAAUUCCCUUCCUUUGUUUUAUUUCACAAAAUAAAAAUUAAAAACCAGGUAUAACCAACUCAACUCAUUAUAACAUGCUGCUCAGACCUUGUCUUUCAGACCAACCCUUGGAGCUAUCCAGUUCUUUGACAAGGGCAGUUCUUUCAACAACGUGGCCAUUCAGAACCACUUCAUUGAGUCAGAAAUUCUUCUGAGGGGGUCUUUGCUUAACUGCUUCAGUUAUCUCUCUGCUGGUCACUGCUCUUCUGUGGUUGAAAUACACAGAGAAGGCAUAUUAUAGAAUACCUGAGAUGAAAAUAUACAAUUGUAUGCAUAGUAUAAUAUAAACUCUUAAAAAGCAAGCAAGCAAAUAUCUGACUAGAAGAAAAAAUUUUAACUCUGGAAGAAAAACAUACUGUAACAUUAAAUAAAGUUAUGUUUGAAUAAU
rnacentral:lncRNA from 1 species